GUAACAAGGUUUCCGUAGGUGAACCUGCGGAAGGAUC
rnacentral:ncRNA from 6 species